UGGAAGUAAAAAGUCGUAACAAGGUUUCCGUAGGUGAACCUGCGGAAGGAUCAUUAUCCAUCUCAAACCAGGUGCGGUCGCGGCCCCCGGGGGCUUGCUCCCGGGUGGUAGGGGUAACACCCUCACGCGCCGCCUGCCUGUACCCUCUUUUUACGAGCACCUUUCGUUCUCCUUCGGCGGGGCAACCUGCCGCUGGAACCAAAACAAAACCUUUUUUGCAUCUAGCAUUACCUGUUCUGAUACAAAUAAUCGUUACAACUUUCAACAAUGGAUCUCUUGGCUCUGGCAUCGAUGAAGAACGCAGCGAAAUGCGAUAAGUAGUGUGAAUUGCAGAAUUCAGUGAAUCAUCGAAUCUUUGAACGCACAUUGCGCCCCUUGGUAUUCCAUGGGGCAUGCCUGUUCGAGCGUCAUCUACACCCUCAAGCUCUGCUUGGUGUUGGGCGUCUGUCCCGCCUCUGCGCGCGGACUCGCCCCAAAUUCAUUGGCAGCGGUCUUUGCCUCCUCUCGCGCAGCACAAUUGCGUCUGCGGGGGGGCGUGGCCCGCGUCCACGAAGCAACAUUACCGUCUUUGACCUCGGAUCAGGUAGGGAUACCCGCUGAACUUAA
rnacentral:rRNA from 1 species